GCGCCCCCCCCCCGCCCCCCAUGGCGCCUGCGCACCAGGGGUUGGCCCGGAGCUGGGGGAGGGGCGAGCUCUAGUUCCAGGCUCCGCCUCCCCUCGCUUUCGCUUUCACUUUCCCAACUGCUGAGGGAUCUACUGCUUGGUCUGGGGGUCAGAUGGAAAAUGAAAGGGGGAGGCUUUCUGCUUUUCCCCGACCGCUGGAAGCCGGACUUGAAUGCCCGCAGCUGGCCGAGCUUCGUGAGGUAGCCAAGCACAUCUGCAAGAAACAACAAACGUGAAUACAGAGAAGCAUGGAAAAGACUCAAAUGAACUGAUGAAAAAUCGAGUAAGUGGAGCCAAGGAAAACCAUAAACAUGAUGAUUGUGACAAUGGUCCAGCUGAUGGUACCAGUGAGCGUGUAAACAGAUGCUGACUCAGAUACACCCAGACGGCAUCAUGGAGCGCAGACUUGAUUGCUCUGUCUUUUCAUUGACCACCAGACAGCUUAGCAUGGCAGCCUGUGCCCCGACAAGAUGGUUCUGUCUCAUUUCCUAGGCAGAUGGAUAAAUGGCUUUCCUGUCCCAGGCCUCGGACCUGACUGACUUGGACCUUUGAACAUCAGAGGAACUGUUGCUGUCUGGCUUUCAAUUAGGUAGAAAUAUUUAUGUUCUAAACCAGACUUAAGUGGGUGAGAAUCCAGCCACACUUAUGGAUUGCUGCAGAAGUGAAUUUUAACAUCUACUUAUUUGGGAGGGACUAUAUUUUUGUUUCUGUCAGAACUAGACCUAAUAAACUUGCGUUUGUUUCUGUGCUCUGAAGCAAUCCCAAAGACAGGUUUAUUUAAUGUUUUAGCUUGGAUCUUUACAGCCAAGUUCUGAACAUGUUAUCUUUUUAUGGUGUAUUUGAUUAAUGAUUUAUCAAAAGUCUGAUAACAGCCAUGUUGAAGAGCAAAUUUGCACUAGAUUAACAUAUUGCUACACCUGCUGGUCUCCAGGGGACAUUGGGCAGACACAAGUUCCCCACCCAACCAUUUCUCAGACUGACUGCUGACUAUAAACUGUGACAAGAGCUGUCUGUAGAGACCUUCCCCUGACACCCCUUCCCCCUAAAGUUGGUGUUACAGGAUUUUUUUUCUUGUUAUUCUGUCUUUUAACUAUCUUUGGAAUACAUCUUGGCUUUUUUUAAUCAAAAUUUUAUUGAUAGCCUUUUUUUUUUUUGCAUCACCUUAAUUUUCAUAUAUCCAGUCUCACCUGCUUCCUGGAGAGCCUUCCCUUGUAACAAAAACAAAAAAAGGAAGAAAGGCAGCUCAGCCAUACUAACCAGUGCCUAGUCUGGCAAAGUAUGUAGUGUUUCACACUCAUAGUCCCCACUUGUGCAAAAAGGGAAGGAGGUGCAUUUUCUCCCAUCUUCUUGAAGGCCAAGUUUGAUCAUUAUAAUUACACAGAACACACAUCUGUAUUAAAGGAAAACCUGAAGUGGUGUGACAAAAUCUCAUAUGAUGGCAGCCUGAGAUUUCUCAAGAGCUCAUGCCUCAGUGUCGGUGAUGACCCAGGAGACCUCAGUAUACUCAUUUGUUUUGGAGAUAGAACAUGCUAAUAGAUAUUUGUUUUCUUCUGUACUUGGCACUGGGGCCUUGUGUUGGGGUAUAUUCUAGACUGGGCUUGAUAACAAGCCAGUCACUGGGGUCCAGACCAGUUUGAGGGCUGAAGAGCUGCUGAGGCCAAGGAGUCUGCCUGUGGCUGGUCAGGUUUCUUGGUUAGCCAACCCUCUGGUGCCUCCCCUGGGCAUCUUGGAUGAGAUGUUGUUAGAUCUUGGAAACUGAAACUAGAAACUGAAACAGGAAACAACUCUGUACUAGCAGAAGUUUGAAGUGAUUUUCUUCUGGGAUUUUCCCAGUCAGAAGUAGGAGAGGGAAGAAGGCCCUAAACAUUCUUUCUGGCCUGAAUGGUAGGACCUUCCCACAUCCUUGGGCUGAGAAACCUUAGGCUUUACUGCAGCUCAUACUUUCUAAAACUCUUCAGAAACACAAGGAGAGGAUGAGCAUAAUAGCUUUCUUUUAAGCCUGUUGCUUGACUUCCUUUUGGCCCGAGGCUGAUUUUUUUUAGAUAUUGGCUCUAUCUAGAGCUUCAUUUGUAUGAAUAGGCUCAAAAAAAUGUUUUCAGUUUAAGAUUAGAUUGGACUUGAUAUGACUGUAAGUAAUCUAUCCCAAAUUCAGUUCAAUUAGCAUUAAUUAAACAUCUACAUCGAAAUACA